rnacentral:rRNA from 1 species
UGGGGAAUAUUGCACAAUGGAGGGAACUCUGAUGCAGCGACGCCGCGUGAACGAAGAAGGCUUUCGAGUCGUAAAGUUCUUUUAUAUGGGAAGAUAAUGACGGUACCAUAAGAAAAAGCCCCGGCUAACUACGUGCCAGCAGCCGCGGUAAUACGUAGGGGGCUAGCGUUGUCCGGAAUCACUGGGCGUAAAGGGUUCGCAGGCGGAAAUGCAAGUCAGGUGUAAAAGGCAGUAGCUUAACUACUGUAAGCAUUUGAAACUGCAUAUCUUGAGAAGAGUAGAGGUAAGUGGAAUUUUUAGUGUAGCGGUGAAAUGCGUAGAUAUUAAAAAGAAUACCGGUGGCGUAGGCGACUUACUGGGCUCAUUCUGUCGCUGAGGAACGAAAGCGUGGGUAGCAAACAGG